GAUGAACGCUGGCGGCGUGCCUAAUACAUGCAAGUCGAGCGAACAGACGAGGAGCUUGCUCCUCUGACGUUAGCGGCGGACGGGUGAGUAACACGUGGAUAACCUACCUAUAAGACUGGGAUAACUUCGGGAAACCGGAGCUAAUACCGGAUAAUAUAUUGAACCGCAUGGUUCAAUAGUGAAAGACGGUUUUGCUGUCACUUAUAGAUGGAUCCGCGCCGCAUUAGCUAGUUGGUAAGGUAACGGCUUACCAAGGCAACGAUGCGUAGCCGACCUGAGAGGGUGAUCGGCCACACUGGAACUGAGACACGGUACAGAGUCCUACGGGAGGCAGAAGUAGGGAAUCUUCCGAAAUGGGCGAAAGCCUGACGGAGCAACGCAGCGUGAGUGAUGAAGGUCUUCGGAUCGUAAAACUCUGUUAGUAGGGAAGAACAAAUGUGUAAGUAACUAUGCACGUCUUGACGGUACCUAAUCAGAAAGCCACGGCUAACUACGUG
rnacentral:rRNA from 1 species